GCCGAGCUUAGUAGCGUGAGCUUGUAACUCAAGUGGGGGCAUUGAAAGUGGUUGGAUAAUGGGUCUGCCCUGUAAGGUUGGGUUUAGGGGUGCAAUUCUCUGACCCGCCCGUACCAAAUUGGGAGUUGGACUGUGUGACCUAGGCGAAGGCUCGAGUCAUGUAGUCCCUAAAGAAGAGGGUAAUGCGUCAGGCUGGUUCCACAGAGCAACGAUGACCUCUCGCUCUUGAUGGUGGAAGGACUACGGGUCGGAGCAUCCUUGACCCGAAAAUACCAUAAGGGCUUUCCUCCAUUGGACAACCGCUUUU
rnacentral:SRP_RNA from 1 species